UGGCUCAGUCGGUUAGAGCGUGGUGCUGAUAACACCAAAGUCACAGGUUCGAUCCCCGU
rnacentral:tRNA from 1 species